AGUCGAGCGAAUGGAUUAAGAGCUUGCUCUUAUGAAGUUAGCGGCGGACGGGUGAGUAACACGUGGGUAACCUACCCAUAAGACUGGGAUAACUCCGGGAAACCGGGGCUAAUACCGGAUAAUAUUUUGAACUGCAUAGUUCGAAAUUGAAAGGCGGCUUCGGCUGUCACUUAUGGAUGGACCCGCGUCGCAUUAGCUAGUUGGUGAGGUAACGGCUCACCAAGGCGACGAUGCGUAGCCGACCUGAGAGGGUGAUCGGCCACACUGGGACUGAGACACGGCCCAGACUCCUACGGGAGGCAGCAGUAGGGAAUCUUCCGCAAUGGACGAAAGUCUGACGGAGCAACGCCGCGUGAGUGAUGAAGGCUUUCGGGUCGUAAAACUCUGUUGUUAGGGAAGAACAAGUGCUAGUUGAAUAAGCUGGCACCUUGACGGUACCUAACCAGAAAGCCACGGCUAACUACGUGCCAGCAGCCGCGGUAAUACGUAGGUGGCAAGCGUUAUCCGGAAUUAUUGGGCGUAAAGCGCGCGCAGGUGGUUUCUUAAGUCUGAUGUGAAAGCCCACGGCUCAACCGUGGAGGGUCAUUGGAAACUGGGAGACUUGAGUGCAGAAGAGGAAAGUGGAAUUCCAUGUGUAGCGGUGAAAUGCGUAGAGAUAUGGAGGAACACCAGUGGCGAAGGCGACUUUCUGGUC
rnacentral:rRNA from 1 species